GUUGUCUGCAAUCUUGUGACUUUUGAAGCCUUCGUGCGUUGACAAUUCCAUGUGGUGCUCAGUCAAUUGCAAUGCUGAGCGAGGAGGGUAUGUUGCAUCGAUCCCAGCCGUCCAUUUUUCGUCAACGAAGUGGCUGCCAUGAUGGAGCAGAUUUUCUAAUUCACAGUCCAAAGCUUUCUUUUUGGGUGGGUACCCAGAAGGACGUUCAAGCAAUCAAAGAAUAUCUGCCAACAUUCUUCGAAAAGUACGUUCUCCAGCCAGCAAUGGCGGAACUACAUGCAUCUAAGAAAAUAUAGAAAAUUUUAUGAAAAAUCAAUAUAUGCUUUAGUUUUUAAUCAUAAUUUUAUAAAUGUAGAAAAUGACCCUCCAAAAAACAGCCUGAGGUUUGAAUUUAUUUGUGUUACAAGCAUCGUGUGCUGAUGUUAUUAAACUCUGUCGCUUUGCUUU